UUGACGGGACCGCACAAGCGGUGGAUGAUGUGGUUUAAUUCGAUGCAACGCGAAAAACCUUACCCACCUUUGACAUGGCAGGAAUCCUAAAGAGAUUUGGGAGUGCUCGAAAGAGAACCUGCACACAGGUGCUGCAUGGCUGUCGUCAGCUCGUGUCGUGAGAUGUUGGGUUAAGUCCCGCAACGAGCGCAACCCUUGCCAUUAGUUGCUACGAAAGGGCACUCUAAUGGGACUGCCGGUGACAAACCGGAGGAAGGUGGGGAUGACGUCAAGUCCUCAUGGCCCUUAUGGGUAGGGCUUCACACGUCAUACAAUGGUCGGUACAGAGGGUUGCCAACCCGCGAGGGGGAGCUAAUCCCACAAAGCCGAUCGUAGUCCGGAUCGCAGUCUGCAACUCGACUGCGUGAAGUCGGAAUCGCUAGUAAUCGCGGAUCAGCAUGUCGCGGUGAAUACGUUCCCGGGUCUU
rnacentral:rRNA from 1 species